UACGUAGGGUGCGAGCGUUGUCCGGAAUUAUUGGGCGUAAAGGGCUCGUAGGCGGUUUGUCGCGUCGGGAGUGAAAACUCAGGGCUUAACCCUGAGCCUGCUUCCGAUACGGGCAGACUAGAGGUAUGCAGGGGAGAACGGAAUUCCUGGUGUAGCGGUGAAAUGCGCAGAUAUCAGGAGGAACACCGGUGGCGAAGGCGGUUCUCUGGGCAUUACCUGACGCUGAGGGGCGAAAGUGUGGGGAGCGAACAGG
rnacentral:rRNA from 1 species